rnacentral:rRNA from 1 species
UGGGGAAUAUUGCACAAUGGGCGCAAGCCUGAUGCAGCCAUGCCGCGUGUAUGAAGAAGGCCUUCGGGUUGUAAAGUACUUUCAGUCGGGAGGAAGGUGGUAAGGUUAAUAAACUUAUCAAUUGACGUUACCGACAGAAGAAGCACCGGCUAACUCCGUGCCAGCAGCCGCGGUAAUACGGAGGGUGCAAGCGUUAAUCGGAAUUACUGGGCGUAAAGCGCACGCAGGCGGUUGAUUGAGUCAGAUGUGAAAUCCCCGGGCUUAACCCGGGAAUUGCAUCUGAUACUGGUCAGCUAGAGUCUUGUAGAGGGGGGUAGAAUUCCAUGUGUAGCGAUGAAAUGCGUAGAGAUGUGGAGGAAUACCGGUGGCGAAGGCGGCCCCCUGGACAAAGACUGACGCUCAGGUGCGAAAGCGUGGGGAGCAAACAGG